CUACAAGCUCUGUUUUGGACUGUGUUCCUGUCGUCUAAUAAACCUCCUGUUUUACUGUCUGGCUGAGAGUCACAUCUGACUGCGAAGUUGGAGUGCAGGGCCCUCUGGCUUCCCCAAGAGCCCCGCCAGUGCGGACUCGUUGUGGGAAGCGCACGGCGGGGCAGAAGAGGCUA